CUUCAGAGUCCCGAACACGUUGCUUCCCCUAAUAAAAUAAAGAUGGAGUCUCAUGUACAUUGCUGACCUCAAACUUGCCAGGUAGCCGAGGCUGGCUUUGAACUCUGGACGCUCCUGCCUAAGUCUCCCAACUGCUGAGGUUACAGGUGUUCAUCCACCAUGUCGAGACCUUUUACAACAUUUAUGAUAUCUGGGUUUCAUAAUGUUUCUCACUGACUCCCAAUCUCAUGUCUCCUUCAACUUCAAAGAUCUUGAGGGCAGGCACUAUACACCUAUCUUUCCUUACUACUGAAUCCAUGUACUAAACAGGUCUCAGGUCUGCAGUCAGGCAUGUGUUGGCUAAGUGAGCACAUGAGGUAACAAGGACUCAGAGGACGAGUGACCUCAGGGACCUAGUGAUUUCAUAAUUCUGAGGAGAGCAUUAUGUAACCCGACAGAGAUA
rnacentral:lncRNA from 1 species